rnacentral:rRNA from 1 species
AGUGAACGCUGGCGGCAUGCCUAACACAUGCAAGUCGAACGGCAGCACAAGAGAGCUUGCUCUCUGGGUGGCGAGUGGCGGACGGGUGAGGAAUGCAUCGGAAUCUGCCCAUUUGUGGGGGAUAACCUCGGGAAACCGGGACUAAUACCGCAUACGACCUACGGGUGAAAGCAGGGGAUCUUCGGACCUUGCGCAGAUGGAUGAGCCGAUGCCGGAUUAGCUAGUUGGGGGGGUAAAGGCCCACCAAGGCGACGAUCCGUAGCUGGUCUGAGAGGAUGAUCGGCCACACUGGGACUGAGACACGGCCCAGACUCCUACGGGAGGCAGCAGUGGGGAAUAUUGGACAAUGGGCGCAAGCCUGAUCCAGCCAUGCCGCGUGUGUGAAGAAGGCCUUCGGGUUGUAAAGCACUUUUGUUGGGAAAGAAAAGCAGCCGGUUAAUACCCGGUUGUCAUGACGGUACCCAAAGAAUAAGCACCGGCUAACUUCGUG